GAUGAACGCUGGCGGCGUGCCUAAUACAUGCAAGUCGAGCGAACGGACGAGAAGCUUGCUUCUCUGAUGUUAGCGGCGGACGGGUGAGUAACACGUGGAUAACCUACCUAUAAGACUGGGGUAACUUCGGGAAACCGGAGCUAAUACCGGAUAAUAUUUUGAACCGCAUGGUUCAAAAGUGAAAGACGGUCUUGCUGUCACUUAUAGAUGGAUCCGCGCUGCAUUAGCUAGUUGGUAAGGUAACGGCUUACCAAGGCAACGAUGCAUAGCCGACCUGAGAGGGUGAUCGGCCACACUGGAACUGAGACACGGUCCAGACUCCUACGGGAGGCAGCAGUAGGGAAUCUUCCGCAAAGGGCGAAAGCCUGACGGAGCAACGCCGCGUGAGUGAUGAAGGUCUUCGGAUCGUAAAACUCUGUUAUUAGGGAAGAACAUAUGUGUAAGUAACUGUGCACAUCUUGACGGUACCUAAUCAGAAAGCCACGGCUAACUACGUG
rnacentral:rRNA from 1 species